CGGUGAGUAAUACGUGAGUAACCUGCCCUUGACUCUUGGGAUAAGCCCGGGAAACUGGGUCUAAUACUGGAUGCUACAUGUCACCGCAUGGUGGUGUGUGGAAAGGGUUUACUGGUCUUGGAUGGGCUCACGGCCUAUCAGCUUGUUGGUGAGGUAAUGGCUCACCAAGGCGACGACGGGUAGCCGGCCUGAGAGGGUGACCGGCCACACUGGGACUGAGACACGGCCCAGACUCCUACGGGAGGCAGCAGUGGGGAAUAUUGCACAAUGGGCGAAAGCCUGAUGCAGCGACGCCGCGUGAAGGGAAUGACGGCCUUCGGGUUGUAAACCUCUUUCAGCAGGGAAGAAGCCACAAGUGACGGUACCUGCAGAAGAAGCGCCGGCUAACUACGUGCCAGCAGCCGCGGUAAUACGUAGGGCGCAAGCGUUGUCCGGAAUUAUUGGGCGUAAAGAGCUCGUAGGCGGUUUGUCGCGUCUGCUGUGAAAGCCCGGGGCUUAACCCCGGGUGUGCAGUGGGUACGGGCAGACUAGAGUGCAGUAGGGGAGACUGGAAUUCCUGGUGUAGCGGUGGAAUGCGCAGAUAUCAGGAGGAACACCGAUGGCGAAGGCAGGUCUCUGGGCUGUUACUGACGCUGAGGAGCGAAAGCAUGGGGAGCGAACAGGAUUAGAUACCCUGGUAGUCCAUGCCGUAAACGUUGGGCACUAGGUGUGGGGGACAUUCCACGUUUUCCGCGCCGUAGCUAACGCAUUAAGUGCCCCGCCUGGGGAGUACGGCCGCAAGGCUAAAACUCAAAGGAAUUGACGGGGGCCCGCACAAGCGGCGGAGCAUGCGGAUUAAUUCGAUGCAACGCGAAGAACCUUACCAAGGCUUGACAUAUACCGGAUCGUUCCAGAGAUGGUUCUUCCCCUUUGGGGUCGGUAUACAGGUGGUGCAUGGUUGUCGUCAGCUCGUGUCGUGAGAUGUUGGGUUAAGUCCCGCAACGAGCGCAACCCUCGUUCCAUGUUGCCAGCACGUGAUGGUGGGGACUCAUGGGAGACUGCCGGGGUCAACUCGGAGGAAGGUGGGGAUGACGUCAAAUCAUCAUGCCCCUUAUGUCUUGGGCUUCACGCAUGCUACAAUGGCCGGUACAAAGGGUUGCGAUACUGUGAGGUGGAGCUAAUCCCAAAAAGCCGGUCUCAGUUCGGAUUGAGGUCUGCAACUCGACCUCAUGAAGUCGGAGUCGCUAGUAAUGGCAGAUUCAGCAACG
rnacentral:rRNA from 1 species